AGCUCCAAUAGCGUAUAUUAAAGUUGCUGCAGUUAAAAAGCUCGUAGUUGGAUUUCUGGUUUGGUGCGCCUAGCCCGCCACGGUUUCGUGUGUGAGUGUUGGGACGUUCCUGCCAUCCUUCUAGUUCCUUGUCUUGCCCCUCACGGGGUGGAGGCAGUGGGCUAGAUCUUUUACUUUGAAAAAAUUAGAGUGUUUCAAGCAGGCAUUUGUUGCUAUGAAUACAUUAGCAUGGAAUAAUCAUGUAGGACUUCGGUCUUAUUUUGUUGGUGUUUCUAAGGCUGAAGUAAUGAUUGAUAGGGAUAGUUGGGGGUGCUAGUAUUCAGUGGCCAGAGGUGAAAUUCUCGGAUUCACUGAAGACUAACUUAUGCGAAAGCAUUCACCAAGGAUGUCUUCU
rnacentral:rRNA from 1 species